rnacentral:rRNA from 1 species
GGACGAACGCUGGCGGCGUGCUUAACACAUGCAAGUCGAGCGGUAAGGCCCUUUCGGGGGUACACGAGCGGCGAACGGGUGAGUAACACGUGGGUGAUCUGCCUCGUACUCUGGGAUAAGCCUGGGAAACUGGGUCUAAUACCGGAUAUGACCACAUGUCGCAUGGUGUGUGGUGGAAAGAUUUAUCGGUGCGAGAUGRGCCCGCGGCCUAUCAGCUUGUUGGUGGGGUAAUGGCCUACCAAGGCGACGACGGGUAGCCGGCCUGAGAGGGCGACCGGCCACACUGGGACUGAGACACGGCCCAGACUCCUACGGGAGGCAGCAGUGGGGAAUAUUGCACAAUGGGCGGAAGCCUGAUGCAGCGACGCCGCGUGAGRGAUGACGGCCUUCGGGUUGUAAACCUCUUUCGACAGGGACGAAGGGAAACUGACGGUACCUGUAGAAGAAGCACCGGCCAACUACGU